rnacentral:lncRNA from 1 species
UUCCUCUUCAUAAUAGAAAUCUAUUAUACACAUUGUUCUUCACCUUGUCUUUUUGAUUUGUUUUGUUUUUGAGUCUUGCUCUAUCACUCAGGCUGGAGUGCAGUGGCGUGAUCUCGGCUCCCUGCAACUUCCGCCUCCCAGGUUCAAGCAAUUCUCCUGCCUCGGCUUCCUGAGUAGCUGGGAUUACAGGCACCCACCACCACGCUCAGCUAAUUUUUGUAUUUUUGGUAGAGAUGGGGUCUCACCAUGUUGGCCAGGAUGGUCUCAAUCUCUUGACCUCGUGAUCUGCCUGCCUCAGCCUCCCAAAGUGCUGGGAUUACAGGCAUGAGCCACUGCGCCCAGCCACCUUGUCUUUUAUUUUAUUUUUUUUCCUGACGGUAAAAGUAUUUUUCCGUCAUUUUCUGUUCAAAAUUUCUCUAGCAUGGAAACUGAUGAAUAUAGUUUCUGCUUCAUGGUUAACGAGAAAGGAAAGUGAGGCCUUCGUCAAGAUCACCCUCCAUCUCAGUCUCCGAAUUAGGCUUACUUUCUUCUAGGUGUCUGUACUUAUGGGGUCAUAAGUUGUGGAAGAAAUAUGUCAGCCAAGGCUGGGAAUGCCUAGAGCACUGCUUCUUGUGUGGGAAGAUUCAUGGAAACAGAUUCAUGGAAACCAGGGUGGCCUGAGACUGAAGCUUCCAAGCCCAAGUAGCCUCCUGGGGUUGGUGGCAUGGAAAAGGAUUCAUCAUCUGCAAAACGAGGAUUGUGAUGAGGAGUGAAGGAAAUCAUUUGCUUGAGUGUGAACAGCCUGUCUGGCACUUUAAUGUUAAGAUGGUGAUGAGAAGAGGAAGGCGAGGCGAGAGAUGAUAGAUUGAGACCCUUGGCAGUGCUGCAGAAUGAACUUAGAGAACUACUGCCUUAGACUGGGCUAAGCAGGGAUUUUUUCUUUUUUCUUUUUCUGAAUGGGUUAGCCUGACCUCCUUCAGCAGAGGCUGGUGGGAACUGGGGAUGCAUAAGAUGAAAAUACACGGGCCGAG